rnacentral:rRNA from 1 species
AGAUUAAGCCAUGCAUGUCUCAGUGCAAGCCGUCCUCGUCGUGCGCGGCGCUACUCUCGCGCGCGUGUGUCUUUUACGAGAUGCCCGUGUGUGAGGGUAUGCACGUGCGCGCGCAUACACGGUGAAACCGCGAAAGGCUCAUUAAAUCAGUUAUGGUUCCUUAGAUCGUGCCCACGUUACUUGGAUAACUGUGGUAAUUCUAGAGCUAAUACAUGCCGACAGAGUUCUGACC